GAUGAACGCUGGCGGCGUGCUUAACACAUGCAAGUCGAACGGAAAGGCCCAAGCUUGCUUGGGUACUCGAGUGGCGAACGGGUGAGUAACACGUGGGUGAUCUGCCCUGCACUUCGGGAUAAGCCUGGGAAACUGGGUCUAAUACCGGAUAGGACGAUGGUUUGGAUGCCAUUGUGGAAAGUUUUUUCGGUGUGGGAUGAGCUCGCGGCCUAUCAGCUUGUUGGUGGGGUAAUGGCCUACCAAGGCGUCGACGGGUAGCCGGCCUGAGAGGGUGUACGGCCACAUUGGGACUGAGAUACGGCCCAGACGCCUACGGGAGGCAGCAGUGGGGAAUAUUGCACAAUGGGCGCAAGCCUGAUGCAGCGACGCCGCGUGGGGGAUGACGGCCUUCGGGUUGUAAACUCCUUUCGCUAGGGACGAAGCGUUUUUGUGACGGUACCUGGAGAAGAAGCACCGGCUAACUACGUG
rnacentral:rRNA from 1 species